rnacentral:rRNA from 1 species
GCUUAACACAUGCAAGUCGAGGGGCAGCAUGGUCUUAGCUUGCUAAGGCCGACGGCGACCGGCGCACGGGUGAGUAACACGUAUCCAACCUGCCGUCUACUCUUGGACAGCCUUCUGAAAGGAAGAUUAAUACAAGAUGGCAUCAUGAGUCCGCAUGUUCACAUGAUUAAAGGUAUUCCGGUAGACGAUGGGGAUGCGUUCCAUUAGAUAGUAGGCGGGGUAACGGCCCACCUAGUCUUCGAUGGAUAGGGGUUCUGAGAGGAAGGUCCCCCACAUUGGAACUGAGACACGGUCCAAACUCCUACGGGAGGCAGCAGUGAGGAAUAUUGGUCAAUGGGCGAGAGCCUGAACCAGCCAAGCAGCGUGAAGGAUGACUGCCCUAUGGGUUGUAAACUUCUUUUAUAAAGGAAUAAAGUCGGGUAUGCAUACCCGUUUGCAUGUACUUUAUGAAUAAGGAUCGGCUAACUCCGUGCCAGCAGCCGCGGUAAUACGGAGGAUCCGAGCGUUAUCCGGAUUUAUUGGGUUUAAAGGGAGCGUAGAUGGAUGUUUAAGUCAGUUGUGAAAGUUUGCGGCUCAACCGUAAAAUUGCAGUUGAUACUGGAUAUCUUGAGUGCAGUUGAGGCAGGCGGAAUUCGUGGUGUAGCGGUGAAAUGCUUAGAUAUCACGAAGAACUCCGAUUGCGAAGGCAGCCUGCUAAGCUGCAACUGACAUUGAGGCUCGAAAGUGUGGGUAUCAAACAGGAUUAGAUACCCUGGUAGUCCACACGGUAAACGAUGAAUACUCGCUGUUUGCGAUAUACGGCAAGCGGCCAAGCGAAAGCGUUAAGUAUUCCACCUGGGGAGUACGCCGGCAACGGUGAAACUCAAAGGAAUUGACGGGGGCCCGCACAAGCGGAGGAACAUGUGGUUUAAUUCGAUGAUACGCGAGGAACCUUACCCGGGCUUAAAUUGCAGAUGAAUUACGGUGAAAGCCGUAAGCCGCAAGGCAUCUGUGAAGGUGCUGCAUGGUUGUCGUCAGCUCGUGCCGUGAGGUGUCGGCUUAAGUGCCAUAACGAGCGCAACCCUUGUUGUCAGUUACUAACAGGUUCCGCUGAGGACUCCGACAAGACUGCCAUCGUAAGAUGUGAGGAAGGUGGGGAUGACGUCAAAUCAGCACGGCCCUUACGUCCGGGGCUACACACGUGUUACAAUGGGGGGUACAGAGGGCCGCUACCACGCGAGUGGAUGCCAAUCCCAAAAACCUCUCUCAGUUCGGACUGGAGUCUGCAACCCGACUCCACGAAGCUGGAUUCGCUAGUAAUCGCGCAUCAGCCACGGCGCGGUGAAUACGUUCCCGGGCCUUGUACACACCGCCCGUCAAGCCAUGGGAGCCGGGGGUACCUGAAGUGCGUAACCGCGAGGAGCGCCCUAGGGUAAAACUGGUGACUGGGGCUAAGU